AAUAUCCGUUCAUGUCUAUCAAAAUCUGCCUUAAUACUCGCUAUUUCUCCUCCUCUUCCUCACCCCGCAUCUUUCUCUCUUUCUCAUUUUUGGCUUUUCCUUAUCCUUUUUCCCUCUCUCUCUUUCUCUUUGAUUCCUGAAAUAUUUAUGCUCUUUUCUUGGACCAAUUGCCAUUAGAUUUUGAUGUCGUCGCAAGACCAGGGAAGGCCACUGCCAAAGUUUGGUGAGUGGGAUGUGAACAAUCCUGCGUCUGCAGAAGGAUUUACUGUCAUCUUUAGCAAAGCCAGAGAUGAAAAGAAAUCGGGUGCUGCAGCUGGGGCUGGUGCUGCUUCGCAAAGGAAAACUAAUUCAUCUCAAGCAAAUAGUCAGUGUCCCCCACCGAAGAAAAGGUUUUGCUGUUUCUAAGACCAAUGGUGGCUUUGGGGGCUAAUCAGGUCGUGCAAUUUGAUCAUCGUGCUAUGGAAGUUCUUCCCAAGUUUGCAUUUCGGGUUGAUUGUGGGGAAUGAGUGCCUGCUGUUCCCUUUCUCUCCACUGCUGCCCCCUGCUCACUUAUGUACGUAUUUUAGGAGAAAACAUUGAUGAUAAACACAACGACUUCAGCUGUAGUUUCUUAUUUUCAUCUAUUUCCAUACAACUUUUGCUGAUGAAUCAGCUAUCUGUCAACCUUAAAGACUGAGUUUCGCUAAAGUUGGAGAUUCAUAGAAAAGUAUUCUAUAUA